UACAGAGGGUGCAAGCGUUGUUCGGAAUUAUUGGGCGUAAAGGGAGUGUAGGCGGUUUGCUAAGUCUUCUGUGAAAUCUACGGGCUCAGCCUGUAACGUGCAGAGGAAACUGACAGGCUUGAGUGUCGGAGAGGAUAGUGGAAUUCCCGGUGUAGAGGUGAAAUUCGUAGAGAUCGGGAGGAACACCAGUGGCGAAGGCGACUAUCUGGCUGACAACUGACGCUGAGGAGCGAAAGCGUGGGGAGCGAACAGG
rnacentral:rRNA from 1 species